rnacentral:piRNA from 1 species
UAGAUUCCAUCCUUAAGCCGAGUAUACAUCC